rnacentral:rRNA from 1 species
CGGGUGAGUAACGCGUAAACAACCUGCCCUUCGGAUGGGGAUAACAGCCGGAAACGGCUGCUAAUACCGAAUACGAUCUUUUCGUCGCAUGACGGAAAGAAGAAAGGAUGGCCUCUAUACAAAGCUAUCGCCGAAGGAGGGGUUUGCGUCUGAUUAGCCAGUUGGUGGGGUAAAAGCCUACCAAAGCGAAGAUCAGUAGCCGAGUUGAGAGACUGACCGGCCACAUUGGGACUGAGACACGGCCCAGACUCCUACGGGAGGCAGCAGCC